rnacentral:misc_RNA from 1 species
CGAAGCUGGAAAGAAGCAAAAGAGAAAAGGAACCAUCUUUCACCUCAUUUACUCACUCUUGAUAUUACUAAACGGACUGAACACUUUGAAGUGCUCUUCUUUACACUUGUAUUGGUUCCGUGCUCCGCCAUUCCUGCGCUAGCGCUCGUCUUGUUGGUUCUCUUACAGCACCACGGCAAGGAGGGAGGCAAAGACGACUGGUGCGCGUGAAGGAAAGCAAACGCAAAGAAAAACAUUGUUGGGUGCCCUACGAAGCCACAUUCUCACGCCUCCGCUGAGCGGCAUCACUUUGUCAGUCUGGAAACGUGAUAAAAAGCGUCGACGAUGAUGGAGGACAUUUUUGAUCAAAUGGUGUGUGGCUCUCCCAUGCAGCAGCUUAAUCUCAAAGGAGUCGACACACCAGAGUACACCAUCAUAUGUGCACAGGCACCAGAUGCGGCAAGGCGUGUGGCCAUUCUGCAGAAUCGUCUCCAAACAUCCACGGAGAGUAGCGCUGCGCAGAACGUCACCCUGCUGCUGAGGACGUGUGUAAGCUCGCAGCUGUCGCCGGAUGAGGUGGAGGAGAUGGUGGAAAACGUGGUUAGAAUCGCGCGGCAGCACGCCAAUUGGCCCGAUUUUUCUCGCUGGGUGUGCGCGCUCAUUCAUCACUACUGCACGGACGACUUUACGGUGUCUCUCUUCUCCGAGUUUGAGGUGCCGAAGGUCGCCGUGGAUGCCCUGCGCAACAAUCCCCACGAUCGCAGGGGUGUUCUGGCUGCUGCUACUCUCUUAUCCCACUUCAACCUGUACGAUAUCGGGGACGGUAUCACGCAGCUCACCAACACGCUGCAGAACCACUGCAGUGAUGCCACUAUUGUCCGCAUCGUGACUCGUACGCUGGCAGAGUUCACUUCUUACUACAAAGAGCUUCCUGACCGGUUCCCGCGUGUAAGUCAGGAGUUCGUCGACGCGAAAGGCAUCACUGUGCUGGAGGGCGUGCUGCACGAGCACAUCAACAACGAGGAAAUCACCACGUACGUAGCACGCAUCGCUGCAAACGUUACCAGCUCUGGGGCGGCCAACAUGGUCGACGCCGACUCUCCCGUCAUGAUGUACUUGGCCGAUACGCUGGCUCGGUAUCAGCAGUCUGAAAUGCUGUGCGGCCACGUGCUGCGCGUGUUCAGCAACCUUCCGCGAUCUCGGUAUAUUGACUGGGAUUGUGUGUCGUCACUCUUUAACAACACCAAGUCGGAAUUGGUUGUCUUUGAGUGCAUCCACUUUUUGUGCAGUGUUGCCAUCAACGUGAAGGAGAUGAAGGCGAAGAUUUACAACACCGGCUGCGUGCCGCGCGUGCUGGAGAUGAUGCGCGUGUACCAAGGCAACGCCGCCAUUCAAGAGGAGGUGUGCAGUCUCCUCUCGUACCUCUCGUUUGACUCAGAAACGAUCACGGCGAGCAUCACGGAGUCAGGAGGCUUGCUGCUGGUACUGAAUGCCAUGCGAAAGUUCCCAGACAAUGAGGACUUGCUCAUGUCGGCAUGCGCUGCACUGUCUGGGUUGACAUUCAACAACCAGACUGGUCAGCAGGUCAUUGUGGACAAUGGCGGUGUCGCUCUGAUUUUGGACUCCAUGCGUCGCGGCAAAAAGGCGCGACUGCAAGAAAACGGAUGCCUCGCUAUCGGUACUAUGUGCUGGAACAGUGAUCUGAAGGCGGAUGUGGUGCGGCUGGGAGGCGUGCAGGUGAUUAUGAAGGCCCUAGAGGAGCACUACACAAGCUCUGGCCUAGUGAAGAACGCGUGUCGCGCUCUUGCGCAAGUCGCAUUCAACAGCGAGCGCUACCGCGAUGAGAUGAGCGCCAAAGGGGUGAUCCCCUUUAUUAUUCGCGGGAUGGCACAGCACCCGAACUACGACCGCGCACAAAUGCAUGGGUGCGUGGCCCUGUCGUACCUUUCGUGGACGAACGAGGACAACGCUGCUCAGAUCACGGCGAACCACGGCUACAAGGUGGUUGUAGAUGCAAUGCGUAACCACCCCAACAACCACGAGGUGCAGGAGCAUGCGUGCCGUGCGCUGGCCAACAUAAGCAAUGUUUCCUUGACGGACUCCUUAGCAGCGUUGGAGCAAAUUGUUGCCGCCAUGCGUCGGCACGAGAACAUCAGCGAGGUGCAGGAGGAGGCGUGCCGCGCAAUUGUGACGCUGUCCCUAGUCUCGCCGUCAAACAAGGACCGGCUCUAUCAGCUUUUCGGGGCGGAUGCCGUGAUUGCAGCGAUGAAGCGCUUUCCGCAGAUUCAACUGGUGCAGCAGGAGGCGUGCAACGCACUGGCUCACUUGGCGUACGAGCACACCGACCUCAACCGAGCUGUGACCCGUCUUGGCGGUGUCUCGCUGCUACUGGCGGCCAUGCGCACCCACAAAUCCAGUCCAAAGGUGCAACUCAACGCGUGUGGCGGCCUCAGCGCACUUGCGUUUGACAACACAGUCGCACAGCAGCAAAUUUUCGAGCUGGGUGGCGUACAAUGUGUGAUCCACGCCAUGGACAACUUUGAGCGACUUCGGAUGUUGGAGCUUGGGUGCUCUGUGCUAGGGACGCUUGCGUGGAACACGGAAAUCAAGGAGCGGGUCGCCGUUGACGCCAUUCCAGAGAUUCUGAAGGCGAUGCGGGCACAUAGCAACAACGCUCUUCUGCAGAAGUCUACCUGCCGUGCCAUUUCUCAAUUUGCCUUCAACUCAGAAAGCAAUCGACAACUACUCGCCGACUCUGGGGCAAUUCCGCUGAUUGUGAACGCUAUGCGGGCGCACUUGACAACGGAGAAGUUAAUUGUGCAUGCACUCAAAGCUCUCACCUAUCUCUGUUGGGAGAACACACAGGUGGCCGAGACAAUAAUUAACGAACGUGUCGAGGAGGUUCUGCAGCGCAUCAUCGAGCACUACGAGCAGACGCACCGGGUUUACAACGAGGCUGUGCACCUUUCCAAGAUUCUUUUUCGCAAGACGACUGGGAGCCCAAGCCCGAAUUUGCGAAUUGUGUCCCCUCCCAUUGUGUCGCCAAUGCCGAUACAGCAAACGCCGUGGUUGCGAUAUGAGAAUCCAGCGCCUCCCAGCCCGCCUCCUCAGGAGAAUCCGGAAGACCAUUUCUACUCAGCGCCGUUGGACAGGCCGCAGGAAAAACCAUACCAAGACCACGCCCACCGUCGCGAUGCUCCGGCAGACGACGACCGCGGGGGUCCGAGGAGCGGUAGGGGUGGUGGCCGUGGUCGCGGCGGCUCUCGUCGACGCGGUGGACCUCCAACCCGCGGUGGUGGUGGUGAGCGGGUCGGAGAGAGAGGGAGUGACAGAGGCGGUCGUCGCGGUGGCAGCGGAGGGGAUGCUGUUGCCGGAGCUGGUGGAAACGAAGGCCGUGGACGCGGCUGCGGUGAACAUCAUGAGGACGCGAUGGAAAAGAUGCUGGACGCGCGGUUCGGACGUCGGCCAAACUACCGUGGGCGCGACGAUGGGCGCAGUGCACCCAGGGAUGCGACCGACUUAUGGGAUGACCCGGACCCGGACUCGUUUCACGGAAAUCGCCACCUGGGGCAGAUGAACUGGCAGCAGGCUGAGUUGACAGCAUCUCUCAACGCCGACAUAGGUAUCUACGACACGCUGGAGCCAGCCAGACGAGGAGGCGCCAUGGAUCAAAACUUUCAGCGCGGCGGCAGAGGUGGGUUGAGGCGCUACGGCGGCUACCGCGGACGUGGUCGUGGCCGCGGUGCCCCGGCAAGUCAGUGAGAUCUGCAACGACAAAAUGAAUUGCUCCAGUUGCGUGUUUGUUUCUUUGUUUUCACUUCCUCUCCGUUUUUUGGCGUCUCGGUCACCUCAUUUUCCUCAAGCAACUUGCGGUGCACAUCAGGCUCCAAAGCAAAC